rnacentral:lncRNA from 1 species
GGACAAGGAAUUUGAACAUAAAAUCCAUUUUACAUGCAAGGUGGUUUAAGUGUUUUAUGAUAUGGUUGAUUAAGGUUCUUAAAAAAAAGGAAACGAAUCAGCAAAAUUUGAUGAGCCUGACAGAAACUUUUAAUAGAAAUGACUUUUACCAGUUCCUUAAAGUUUAUUAAGAAACGUAAAUAAUUCGCAUCAUAAAAUAAGUUACUUUUACCAUUCGCUUCUAUAUUUGAGUUUUUCCAUUUCGGCUUGCUGCAUAGAAAUUAAAGA